ACCCCUAAGCCAUCUCACCCACCCACAAGUCUCCUUGAGAAACUGGAGUGUGACAAAAAAGAGACAUACUUUUUUUUUUUUUUGUUACUUCUGAGAAGCCACCAGACUGGGUGAGAAGGCAGGGCUUUUCAUAUUGGUUGUAGGAAGUGGCUGCCAGAAGAAGAGCAAGAGCGACCGUGAGAAAAAGAAGGGCUGGAAGACGAAGGGGUUUGUUCUUGCUGACGGACUGUACUAUGGGGGUCCAGUGUGAAGAGAAAAUGCACCUGCUGCUGUUCAUCUCCUUCCUCUUCUUGUGUCCAGGUUAGUGGUCCGGAAGGAAGUUCAUUGACUGUGACAUGUCAUCAUGACCCAGGAUGGGAGACCUACUACAAGUGGUGGUGUUGAGGAGCUGAUUGGGGUAGCUAUAAAACCCUUGUUAAAACUACUGGAUCAGAGCAGGAGGUGAAGAAAGGCCGUGUGUCCAUCAGGGACAAUCAUACAAAACACAUAUUCACUAUUACUAUAGAGAAGCUCACGGAAGAUGAUGAAGAUUUCUACUGGUGUGGGAUUGAGCGAUUUUUAACUGACCUUGGAGUCCAGGUGAAAGUGUCACUUGACCCAGACCUGGAACUUGAUCCCAUAAAUUUGAAGGUCAAAAAUCAAAAAGGGAAGCCAAAUGCUGUCGUUGUGAGCUGCCAGCGUCCCCUGGAAGCCAAUAGAAAUAUUACCGACCUGACCUCUGCUCCCAUGAGAGUGGCAUAUAUUUCUUGAGGAGAUAAUUUCCGUGCUAUUAUUCUGAGCUGCCAGCCUACCCUGACAAUCAACGGGGAAAUAACUGACCCACGCUCUGCUAACAUGGAUUUAAAAAGCAUUAAUCUGGAAGGAGAGCAGCGUAUUGUCUUUGGGAGCUGCCAGCCGCCCCUGGAAACCAAUGAGAAAAUUACUGACCGGAACUCUCUUUCCAUGUACUUGACAGUCAUCUCUCGAAAAGAGAAGCCACGUGCUGUCGUUGUGAGCUGCAAGCCUCCCCUGGAAGCCAAUUGGAAAAAUUUCACCCCAACCUCUGCUCCGAAGGAUUUCAGACUCGUUUAUCAAGAAUCAAAGCCUCAUUCCUUCACUGUGAACUGCCAAUGUCCCAUGAAAGUCAAUGAGGAAAUUACCGCUCUGACCUCUGCUCCCAUGGAUUUUACAGUCUUUACUGGUACUCCAGAGGUGAAGACACAUUCCGCCCUUGUGACCAGCCAGCCUCCCCUGGAAGCCAAUGGGGAUACUACGGCCUCAACCUCUGCUCCCAAGGAUUUGACAGUCAUUUCUCCAGAAGGGAAGCCUCUUGCUGUCACUGUGAGAAGGAAUCCUGCCCUGAAAGACAAUGGGGAAAUUAACAUUCUUUGCUGUCUUCCUUCAUUUCUACAAUUGGGAUGAGACAUGGCACUAACAUAAUGGAGAGAAUAAUGGAGCAAAUUGGCAUUUGUGAAAUGCUUGGAAGAAAUUCACUGAGUCACUGUCUGUAAACACUAAAUAACAAGGGAAACUAAGGAUGAGAUCUGCGUUGUUCUGACCCAUAAAAAACAUUUUCUUGAAAAAUACAGACAACGGAGGAAAGUUUUAUUGCUUGAGUGAUUGAACUUAACAUCGAUAGGACGAAAGACCGUUAAUUUACCUUCUGGAGGAAGGCUCCAGAUUCCCCCUCGGCCUUUGGCCGUAAGUAGACUUACCACCUGACAGAGCCAGCAGGAUGCUGAGACCUGGAACAGAGAGAGAGGAGGUUACAGAUCAGGUAAGGAAUGCCCAGGGCUUUGCCAGGGGCCUUUUCUCCUGCUGCUCAGCUGUACACACUAGCGUCACUGCACACUCUCCAGGCACGACAAACACCAGGGCCUCAUAUAUUACUGGGGCAUGAGCGAAACGUGGUUGCCGCUUGUGUCCUGAUUUCUAACAUUCCAGCAGCUAUUUCAGCUUUUUCUCCAAGUCUGGCAUCAAAAGGCCAGUCUCCUUUCUAUGUUCAACUGUAGAGCUUUACCAAGGAGCCCUGGUGAUGCAACGGUUAAGUGCUCGGCUGCUAAACAAAAGGUUGGUUGUUCAAAUCCACCUGUGGCUCUGUGGGAGAAAGACCUGGUGAUCUGCUCCCACAAAGAUUAGAGCCAAGAAAACCCUAGAAGGAGUGCUGCUCUGUCACAGGGGGUAGCUAUGAGUUGGAACCCACUUGAUUGCACCCAACAAUAGCAACAGUACCUUUACUAGUCUGGACUUCCAACCCAGCACUGUCCGUUAGAAACACAAGGUGAUAUCCUGACACCUUCUACAACAUGGAUGAGUAAAAUCAGUCACAAAAGCACGAAUAUUGUAUGAUCCCACUUACAUGAAGUAUCUGUUCUCAUUAGCUGCUGUCGAGUCAGCCACCGGCUCAUGGCAACACCACGCACAGCGGGACAAGACCUAUGUGAUGCAUAGGAUUUUCUUUGGCUAAAUGUCGGCAGUUCAAAUCUGCCAGGUGCUCCUUGGAAACUCUAUGGGGCAGUUCUACUCUGUCCUUUAGGGUUGCUAUCAGUCAGAAUCGACUCAAUGGCAAUGGGUUUAGUUUUUUUUUUUUUUUUGAAUUUUCGGAAGUCGAUAGCCAGGCCUUUCUUCCUGGACCAUCUUUGUCUGGAUGCGUCACUGAAACCUGUUCAGGUGGAUGGUGGCUACACAUAAGGUGCAUUAGCUGAAUAUCAAACCCAGGUCUCCUACAUGAAAAAUGAGAGUUCUACCACUGAGCCAGCACUGCCUCAUCCCACAGCCAGCCCUAGCCCUCCGCGAACACACCUUCACUGUCUUCUCCCUUUCCUGCCUCUCCUGGGCUUCCUGGGGUCACCACCCAACAAACUGCUUACACCCAAGCUCUUGUCUCAACGUCUUCUUCAGGGAGCCCAAUCUAAGAGACUCGGAGUGAGAGAUACUAAUAGGACUAACAGUUAUUUCUGGGGAAAGUGCCAAAUUUGGGGAGCAGCCAAAGUUAGCAUGCAGGGGGAGGGAAUUCGUUGUUACACUCACCUGAGACGAGGAGCAGGUACCUGCUGGCCAUAGCACUGAGACCUGGGUGGCCAGAACCUGAGAUAAUAAGGAGGAUGUUAGCAUGCUAUUGUUGUAGUUGUUGUGUGCCAUUGAAUCAUAGCAAACCUACAGGACAGAGCAGAACUUCCCCAUAGGGUUUCCUGGGCUGUAAUCUUCACAGAAGCAGAUUGGUACGUCUUCAUAUUUUCCUAUGGAUCAGCUGUUGCUGGGUUUGAAUCGAUGACCUUUUGGUCAGCAGCUGAGUGUUGAACUGUUACACCAGCAGGACUCCUUUAGUAUACUAUACAAGAUGACAAAUAUGCAUGUAUGAAUAUAUAUAUAUGGAAACCCUGGUGGCAUAGUGGUUAAGAGCUAUGGCUGCUUACCAAAAGGUAAACAGUUCAAAUCCACCAGGCCCUCCUUGGAAACCCUAUGGGGCAGUUCUACUCUGUCCUAUAGGGUCACUCUAAGUCGGAAUCCACUUGAUGGCAAUGGGCUUGGGGCUUUUUUGAGAGAUUAUAAAUAUAUAUAUGAUAUACAAUAUUAUCUAAAUACCAUAUAUGAAUAUACAAAUAUAUAUUUACAUAGGUGUAAUAUAGAAAUAUGUAUAUAUAAUUAUAUAAAAAAUGUAUAAAUCUGUGGAGUCCCUGGGUGGCACAAAAGGUCAAGCACUGGACUACUAAGUGAAGUGCUGUCAAUUCGAACCCACCCAGAGGUGCCUUGGAAGACAGGCCUGGCAAUCCGCUUCUGAAAGGUCACAGCCUGUGACCCUGUGGAGCACAAUUCUAUUCUGACACACUUGGGGUCAUCAGAGUCAACUCAACAGCAACUUUUUUUUUUUUUUAUUAUAUACAGAUACAUAAAUACAUAAUGUAUAAAUAUACAAUUUAUAAAUAUGUCAAAAUAAGUUAUAUAAAAAAUUACAUAAUAUAUAAUCGAUAUAGAAUAUAUUUAUAUAAAUACGCUUACACAACAGGGAAAUUACCUCUCCUAAAAAAAAAAAAACCAAUGCCAUUGAGCUGAUUCUAACUCAUAGCAACCCCGUAGGACAGAGUAGAACUGUUCCGUAGGGUUUCCAAGGCCGUAAUCUUUAUGGAAGCAGACUGCCACAGCUUUCUCCAACAGAGCAGCUGGUGGGUUCUAACUGCCGACCUUUCAGUUAGCAGCCGAGUGCUUUAACCACGGCACCACCAGGGCUCCUCAUUUAUAUAAAUGUAUUUAUAUAAUAGGUCAGAUACCUCUCCUAUUUUACAAAAGAAGUAAACAUUCCAUAUACAACUUUGUGCGUGUGUGUGUGUUUGUGAGUGUGUGUAUCCAUUCACAAAGUCAUACUUACAUACACACAUGGAUGAGCACAAACAAACGCGUCCAAUGCGUGCAGAUAUGCGUACAUGAUUUUGUAUCUGCGUGAGAUCCCUGGAAGAUGCCUAAGAAACUGCUAAGACCAGUUGUCUUUGAAUGAAUGCCUGGGAAGCAGGGCAGGAAGGAGACUUUUCAGUUUGCCCUUUUGUACCUUCUGAAUAUUGAGCCAAGUGAUUGUAUUUUAUAUUCAAAGAAUAAAUAGUUUUUAAAGGAGAAAAUAGUGGAAGUCUUAGAUAUCAUUGAAGCCCCUGGAUGGUGCAAACGGUUAACGCACUCAGGUGCUAACCAAAAGGUGGGAGGUUUGAGUCUACCCGCAGGCACCUCGGAAGAAAGGUCUGGCGAUUUGCUUCUGAAAAAUCAGCCACUGAAAACCCUAUGAGGCACAAUUCUACUCUGACACACAUGGGGGUGCCAUGAGUUGGCGUUAACUCACUGGCAAAUGGUUUAUUUUUCUAGACUUUGCUACAAAUGAGCUUUUCAGAGAAGACUUUAAAAAGCAAUGUAAUAAAUGUUUGCCCUAUGGAUGUCAUUUUAAAAUUUAAGAAGAACUGUCCUAAUGUUAUGUAAAUGGGUAAUUGGAUUUAGGAUAAAACUUUCAGUGCACAUUAGCAAAGACGAUACGCUCUGCAAAUCCGCUAAGCCACUCAAGAAGUGGCACUAUUGAUGAUGAAGACGCUGAUGGAGAACAUGCUUCUAAAUGGUUUGGAGACAAUCAUUUCACAAAAUAAGACACUAAACCAAGUCCUAUUCACCUACCAAGAUGAAAAGCCCUGGCUUCUCACCCCGGCUGGUGGCUUCUCAGAGGCAACAAAAAGGAAGUAGGUCUCUUCAUAUCUUGAGCUCCAGUUUCUCAAGGAGGUUCAUGGGAUAGGACAACCCAACAUAAUGACACUGAUCUACUUGGCUUGCAAGGAGUACUGGUGAUGCAAAGGUUAAAAAUGCUUGGUUGGAACUCGCCCAGAGGCCCCGAGGAAGAAAGACCUGAUGAUCUGCUCUCCUAAAGAUUACAGUCAAGAAAACAUGAUGGAUGUAGUCAAUCUGAUUUCUGUGUGUUCCAUCUGGUGAGGUCCAUAGUCGCCGUUUAUGUUGGUGAAAGAAGGUAUUUGCAAUGAAGAAGUUGUUGGUCUUGCAAAAUUCUAUUAUUCUAUCUCCAGCAUGGUUUCUAUCACCAAGGCCAUAUUUUCCAACUACUGAUCCUUCUUCUUUGUUUCCAACUUUCACAUUCCAAUUGCCAGUAAUUAUCAAUGCAUCUUAAUUGCAUGUUUGCUCAAUUUCAGACUGCAGCAGCUAAUAAAAAUCUCAAUAUUAUCAGUCAGGACAAGGCCAGGGGCUGACUGUGGAACAGACCAUCAAUUGAUCCUAUGCAAGUUCAAGCUGUAACUGAAGAAAAUCCGAGCAAGUCCACAAGAGCCAAAAUAUGACCUUGAGUAUAUCCCACCUGAAUUUAGAGACCAUCUGAAAAAUAGAUUCGAUGCAUUGAACACUAGUGACCGAAGACCAGACAAGUUGUGGAAGGACAUCAUCCAUGAAGAAAGCAGGAGGUCAUUGAAAAGACAGGAAAGAAAGAAAAGACUAAGAUGGAUGUUGGAGGAGACUCUGAAACUUGCUCUUGAGCAUCGAACAGGUAAAGCAAAAGGAAGAACUGCUGAAGUAAAAGAACUGAACAGAAGAUUUCAAAGGGUGGCUCGAGAAGACAAAGUAUUAUAAUGGCAUGUGCAAAGAGCUGGAGAUGGAAAACCAAAAGGGAAGAACACUCUCAGCAUUUCUCAAGAUGAAAGAAUUGAAGAAAAAAUUCAAGCCUCAAGUUGCAAUAGUGAAGGACUCUAUGGGGAAAAUAUUAAAUGACGCAGGAAACAUCAAAAUAAGAUGGAAAGAAUACACAAAGUCAUUAUACCAAAAAGAAUUAGUCGACGUUCAACCAUUUCAAGAGGUGGCAUAUGAUCAGGAACAAAUGGUACUGGAGGAAGAAGUCCAAGCUGCUCUGAAGGCAUUGGCGGAAAACAAGGCUCCAGGAAUUGAAGGAAUAUCAAUUGAGAUGUUUCAACAAACACAUGCAGCGCUGGAGAUGCUCACUCGUCUAUGCCAAGAAAUAUGGAAGACAGCUUCCUGGCCAACUGACUGGAAGAGAUCCGUAUUUAUUCCUAUUGCCAAGAAAGGUGAUCCAACCGAAUGUGGAUAUUAUAGAACAAUAUCAUUAAUAUCACACGCAAGCAAAAUUUUGCUAAAGAUCAUUCAAAAACAGCUGCAGCAGUAUACCGACAGGGAACUGCCAGAAAUUCAGGCUGGUUUCAGAAGAGGACGUGGAACCAGGAAUAUCAUUGCUGAUGUCAGAUGGAUCCUGGCUGAAAGCAGAGAAUAACAGAAGGAUGUUUACCAGUGUUUUACUGACUAUGCAAAGGCAUUCGACUGUGUGGAUCAUAACAAAUUAUGGAUAACAUUGCGAAGAAUGGGAAUUCCAGAGCACUUUAAGUGUGCUCAUGAGGAACUUUUACAUAGAUCAAGAGGCAGUUGUUUGGACAGAACAAGGGGGUACUGCGUGGUUUCAAGUCAGGAGAGGUACACAUCAAGGUUGUAUCUUUUCACCAUACCUAUUGAAUCUGUAUGCUCAGCAAAUAAUCCAAGAAGCUGGACUAUAUGAGGAAGAACGGGGCGUCAGGAUUGAUGGAAGACUCAUUAACAACCUGCAUUAUGCAGAUAACACAACCUUGCUUGCUGAAAGUGAAGAGGACUUGAAGCACUUGCUGAUGAAGAUCAAAGACCACAGCCUUCAGUAUGGAUUAAACCUCAACAUAAAGAAAACAAAAACCCUCACAACUGGACCAAUAAACAACAUCAUGUUAAAUGGAGAAAAGAUUGAAGUUGUCGAGGAUUUCAUUUUACUUGGAUCCACAAUCAACACUCGUGGAAGUGUUGUUGUUGCUGUUGUUAGGUGCCGUCGAGUCAGUUCCGACUCAUAGCGACCCUGUGCACAACAGAACGAAACACUGCCUGGUCCUGAGCCAUGCUUACAAUCGUUGUUGUGCUUGAGCUCAUUGUUGCAGCCACUGUGUCAAUCCACCUCGUUGAGGGUCUUCCUUUUCUCUGUUGACUCUGUACUCUGACAAGCACAAUGUCCUUUUCCAGGGACUGAUCCCUCCUGACAACAUGUCCAAAGUAUGUAAGACGCAGUUUCGCCUUCCUUCCCUCUAAGAAGCAUUCUGGCUGUACUUCUGCUAAGACAGAUUGGUUCGUUUCUUUAGCAGUCCAUGGUAUAUUCGAUAUUCUUCACCAACACCACAAUUCAAAGGUGCAAAUUCUUCUUCGGUCUUCCUUCUUCAUUGUCCAGCUUUCAUACGCAUGUGAUGCGAUUGAAAAUAUCAUGGCUUGGGUCAGGAGCACCUUAGUCUUCGAGGUGAAAUCUUUGCUCUUCAACACUUUAAAGAGGUCCUUUGCAGCAGAUUUACCCAAUGCAAUGCAUCUUUUCAUUUCUUGACGGCUGCUUCCAUGGCUGUUGAUUGUGGAUCCAAGUAAAAUGAAAUCCUUGACAACUUCAGUCUUUUCUCUGUUUAUCAUGAUGUUGCUUAUUGGUCCAGUUGUGAGGAUUUUAGUUUUCUUUAUGUUGAGGUGCAAUUCAUACUGAAGGCUGUGGUCUUUGAAAGUGGUCUUUCGAAGUAGUAGUCAAUAAGUCAAAAGACUCAUUGUAUUGGGCAAAUCUGCUGCAAAAGACCUCUUUAAAGUGUUGAAAAGCAAGGACAUCACUUUCACGACUAAACAGGGCCUGACCCAAGCCACAGUGUUUUCAAUUACCUCAUAUGCAUGUGAAAGCUGAACGAUGAAUAAGGAACGCCUGAGAAGAACUGAUGCCUUUGGACUGUAGUGUUGGUGGACCAUAUUGAAUAUUCCAUUGACUGCCAAAAGAAUGAACAAAGCUGCCUUGGCAGAAGUACAACCAGAGUGUUUCUUAGAAGCAAGGAUGGGAAGACUAGGUCUCACAUACUUUGGACAUGUUAUCAGGAGGGAUCAGCCCCUGGAGAGGGACACCAUGCUUGGUAAAAGAGAGGUCAGUGAAAAAGAAGGAGACCCUCAAGGAGAUGAACUGACACUGUGGCUAGAACAAUGGGCUCAAGCAAAACAACAAUUUUGAGAAUGUCACAGAACCAGGCAAUGUUUCAUUUAUAGGGUCGCUAUUUUUCUUUAUGAGUCAGAACUGACUGGAUGGCACCUAACCACAACAACAGGGAUUUAUAAGAGAACAUUGACUUCAGGCUUAAGGAAGAACUAGUUUGAUAUAUAACUAACAGUUGGAAAAUGGACUAUUAUUAUUUUUUUUUAUUUUAGAUCAUGUAACAGUUAAGCACUCAAUUACUAUCUGAAGGGUGGGUGGUCCAAACUCACCCAGAUGCACUGCAGAAGAAAGGCCUGGCCAUCUGCUCCAUUAAGAUUACAGCCAAGAAAACCCUAUGGAACAGUUCUAUUCAGUCACUCAUUGGGUUGUUACAAGUCAGAACUAUGUGAUGGCAAUGAGUUUGGUUUUGGUAUCUUGCUAUGGACACACUUCCACCAUAAACACACACGUCAUGCUUACUGAGUAUCUGUCCCGUAAUUUUUGUGUCCAAUGCAUGCAGACACAGCCACGAUCACAGCUGGGAUCCCGUAGCCAAAGGAGUACAUGAACCUCUUCUUGAAUCUGCCUGGGCUGGUGUAGUUGGCCACCUUGAGGUUCCUGACAGUGAGGAAGAGGUGCAGGCCUUCCAGGAGCAUCCAGGUGAAGGAGGCCAGGUAGAGGUAGUGCAGCGCCCCAGCGAUGACAGAGCACAGCAGCUGGACAGAGGGAGAAUUGAGAGAGUGAAGCAGAUAUUAAGUGCUCGGCUGCUAACUGAAAGGUCAAUGAUUCACCACCUGCCACUCUGCAGGAGAAAGAUGAGGCUGUCUGCUUCCAUAAAGAUCACAGCCUGGAAACCUUCCGGGGUAGUUCUAUUUUGUCCUAUAGGGUCUGUAUGUGUUAAUUUCCUCUUGCUGCUAUAACAGAAAUACAAGUGGAUGGCUUUAAGGAACUGAAAUUUAUUUUCUCACAGUUUAGGAGGCUAGAAGUCUAAAUUCAGGGUGCUGGCUAUAGGGGAAGGCUCUAUUGCCUCUGGGGGUAGAUUCUUAUCUCACCUUCUCUAGCCCCAGUGUUCCUCGGUUCCUUGGUAAACUUCAUGUGGCAUCUAUCUCCCCCAUUUGUGCUUACUUGUCUCUGCGUCUAUGCUGCUCUCUGUAUCACUCAGAAAUGGAGAACCCUAUGAAGCACAGUUCUACUCUGCACACUUGGGGUCACCAUGAGUCAGAAAACUUGAGGGCAACUAACAACAACUACACUGAUAUGGCCUCAUUGAUAUAACAAAGAAAACCCUAUUCCCAAAUGGGAUUGCAUUCACAGGUGUAGGGGAUAUGAUUCCACUACAUAUUUUGGGAGAACACCAUUUAAUCCAUACUAUACCCUGAUUCCAAACUCUUAUUUCCAAUGGUCUGUUGGCUGUCUCCACUCAAGCGUCUGAUAAGCACCUCCAGUUUAGCAGAUUUAAACUUGAAUUCAUCAUCUCUUCUGUCCCAAUCCUGUUCCUCCUCUCUAGCUUGGUUAAUGACAUCACCAACCCUCUAUACACAGUCUCCCAAACUAGAAACCUCAGCAUCACCCUUAUGUCUGCUUUCUCCCAUACCCACCACUUCCACCUUCACUUGGGCCCCAAGUCCAGCUGAUUCCACUUCACAAACAUUUUUUAAAUCAGACCCACUUCCUCUUCCUUGGUUCAUGUUUUCAUUAUCUCUUAUCAUCACUCUUCUCUCUGCUGCUAGCUUCAUCUCGCUCCAACUUACCUCCACUUUCUUAUGCUUUGAAGGCCACAUAGUGUUUGAUACACACACAGUUCUACAGACACAAGUGGGGUUGCUAUGAGUUGGGGUCACCAUGAGUCAGAGUUGACUCAACAGCAACAGAGUUUUUAUGCUGCAUCCCAGGGGGGAAGCCAGUGUUUUCAUAAUAUUCUGGCUGGGGAAUCGUAGUCUUUUAGGGCUCAGAGGAGUUUUGGAGUGCACGUAGUUCUAAUUCUUCCUGGAAAUAUUGGUGAUCGUGAUCACGAUGAAGAUAAAAAUGAACAUUUUUCACUUUAAUCCAUGUUCUUUAUAUGUUUUAUCUUGCUAAGUCCUUUUAGGAGCCUUAUGACUAGGUCCCUGUUUUACACAGGAAAUUUAGAAAGGAGAAGUCAUUUCACCAAGGUUAUAUAGCAAGUAAGAUGAACAGUUUGACUCUGACACACAUGGGGCUACCAGGAGUCAAAAUCGACUCUAUGGCACCGUAAUUUUUUAAGUGCAAAGUUAAGAUUCAAGUGCAGAUCAGAGUGGCAAAGCCACUCUCUGUUAAAAAAAGAAAAAUCCAAGCCUGCUGUCAUUGCCGAGAGGGCACUGGUGGUUCAGUGGUAGAAUUCUCACCUCCCAUGUGGGAGACCGGGGUUAGAAUCUCAGCCGAGGCAUCUCAUGCACAGCCAUCAGCACCUAUCGGUACAGGCUUGCAUGUUGCUAUGACACUAAACAGGUAUCAGUGGAGCUUCCAGACUAAGGGGGACAAAGAAGAAAGGCCUGCCUACUGACUUCCAAAAAACAGCGAAUGAAAAACCUGCAGAUCACAACGGUCCAAUCUGGUACUGAUUAUAAGGAUGGUUCAGGGCUGGACAGUGUUUAUUCUGCUGUGCAUGGGGUUGCUAUGGGUUGGGGACCAACUGGACAGCAGCUAGCAACAACAAAAACUACAAUCUCCCGUUCCCCAGUAUACGGUUGUUGCUAGGACAUCACUGCCCAGCCAGGGAUUACAUUUCCCAGCCUCCACUACAGCUUGGUAUGACUAUAUGGCUGAGUUUUAGCCAAUAGAAUGUGAGAGAUAAGCCCAUAUACAGCUCCCUCAUAACACUUCACCAUGCCUUUUUUCCCAUCCACUUGGUCCAAAAGGAAAGGGCUCUAGGGUAACCUUGGUAAAGCCUCCAUUAGCCUGAGGAUGGAAGAUAACUGAUAAAAAAGUAAAAAAAUUACUAUUUCUCUAAGGGGAGUCCCUGAGUGGUGCAAUUAUUGAGCACUUGGCUAUUAACAAAAAGGUUAGCAGUACAAAUUCACCUAGAAGUGCCUCAGACAAAAGGCCUGGUGAUCUAAUUCUGUACGAUCACAGUCACUGAAAACCUUAAGGAGCAUAUUUAUACUUUGAAACACAUGGGGUUGUCCUAUGUGGAAAUCAACUUGACAGCAACUGAUUUGGUAUUAGUGCACUAAGCCACUGACAUUUUGGAGUUUAUUUGUUAUAGCAGCUAAUGUUACCCCAUCUAAUACCAUCAGCCUGACUCUCAGUCACUUUGCUAAAUAGACUCUCGGGAAGUACGAGUCUUGUUCAAAGUUAAACAGGAGCAUAGCUGAAAUGGGGAGCCCUGCUUUACCCCUUACACACUCACUCCUGAUUCUUGCCUCUGUCCCCCAUCUUUUCUCAGGCCAAGAUGUUGAGAUUUGAUUAUGACAAGGAGGUAAACUGGUUGAGAAAUCCUACCUCAGGCUCAGUUUUAUCAAUCCCCACUAGGAAUAGCAGGUGGGCCAGGAAGAGGCAGAGUGAGAGCUGCAGGUGGAGCGAGGUGCUGGUGUUCUGGAUGGGCCGGCACAGAAGGAAGGUGAGGGCUGCCAGGAGGAGGCACAACAGAGAGAGGCUCAGCCCCAUGCUGGUGAUCACAGCCAGCACUGGAUCUGCCUGUGAAACAUGAUAGGAGGAAUCUGUUACAUAUCUCAGUUCAGCAGUUAUGGCUCUGAUAGGGAGUCAGAUGGGGUUCCCAGCUCAAGGAUCCCUUGAACAAGUUACUUAACCUCUCUGAGACUUGGUGUUCCCAUCUCCAAAAUGAGGAAAAUAAUGAUGACACAACAGUUAAGUGCUUGGCUGCUAACCAUAGAGGUUGGUGGUUUAAACGAACCCAGUGGCUCCUUGGGAGAAAAACCUGGCAAUUUGCUCCCAUAAAGAUUACAGCCCAGAAAACCCUAUGGGGCAGCUUCCCUCUGUCUCAUGGGGUUGAUAUGAGUAGAAAUUGACUCAAUGGUACCUAAUAGCAACAACCAGGCAAGGCUGUUGAAAAACUGAAAACAUAGACUAGAGCUGUCCAAUAGAAAUAUCACAUGACCCACACAGGUAAAUUAAAAUUUCAAGUAGCCACAUUAACAAAUAAUGUAAAAAGCAACAGGAGAAAUUAAUGUCCUAGUAUAUUUUAUAUAACCUAAUCCAACUCAACGGCACUGGGUUGGGUGGGUUAAUAUGUUCAAAACAUUAUUAGUUCAAAAUCUGUACAUCAAUUUUCACUGCCACUCUGUUCACAAUAGCCUAAAGACAGAAACAACUGAAUUGUCCAUCAACAGAUGAAUGAUAAACACAAUAUAGUCCAUCUAUACAACGGAAUAGUACUCAGCCAUAAAGAGAAAUGAAGUCCUGAUACAUGCCACAACGUGGAUGCAACUUGAAAGCAUGUUGAGUGAAGUCAGUCAGUCAUAAAAGGACUAAUACUGAAUUAUCUCACUUGUAUGAAAUGGGCAAAGGUAGAAAUCAACCCCAUGCAUCUGUCAGACUAUCCUACUUGGGUACGACCUUGAGUGUAUCCCCCUGAAUUUAGAGACCAUCUCAAGAAUAGAUUUGAUGCAUUGAACACUAAUGACCGAAGACCAGAUGAGUGUGGAAUGACAUCAAGGAAAUCAGACAUGAAGAAAGCAAGAGGUCAUUAAAAUGACGGGGAAGGAAGAAAAGACCAAAAUGGAUGUCAGAAGAGACUCUGAAAUUUGCUCUUAAAGAUUGAAUUGCUAAAGAGAACUGAAAAAAUGAUGAAGUAAAAGAGCUAAACAGAAGAUUUCAAAGGGCAACUCAAGAAAACAAAGUACUAUAAUGAUGUACAAAUGGCUGGAGUUAGAAAACCAAAAGGGAAGAAGAUGCUUGGCAUUUCUCAAGCUAAAAGAACUGAAGAAAAAAUUCAAGCCUUCGGUCGGAAUUUUGAAGGUUUCCAUGGGCAAAAUAUUAAACGAUGCAGGAAGCAUCAAAAGAAGAUGGAAGGAAUACACAGAGACACUGUACCAAAAAGAAUUGGUUGAAGUUUAACCAUUUCAGGAGGUAGCAUAUGAUCAAGAGCCAAUGGUACUGAAGAAAGAAGUCCAAGCUGCAUUGAAGGUGCUGGCAAAAAACAAAGCUCCAGGAAUUGACAGAAUAUCAACUGAGAUGUUUCAACAAAUGGAUGCAGCGCUGGAUUGUUCACUCGUCUAUGCCAUGAAAUUUAGAAGACAGCUACCUGGUCAACUGACUGGAAGGAAUCCAUAUUUGUACCCAUUCCAAAGAAAGGUGAUCCAGGAGAAUAUGGAAAUUACCGAACAAUAUCAUUAAUAUCACAUACAAGUAAAAUUCUGCUGAAGAUCAUUCAAAAGCAGCUGCAACAGUAUAUCAACAGAGAAAUGCCAGAAAUUCAACCCAGAUUCAGAAGAGGACAUAGGAUGAGGGAUAUCAUUGCUGACGUCAGUUGGAUCCUGGCUGAAAGCAGAGUAUUCCAGAAAGAUGUUUACCUGUGUCGAGUGGCUACACAAAGGCAUUCCACUGUGUGGAUCCUAACAAAUUAUGGAUAACAUUGCAAAGAAUGGGAAUUUCAGAGCACUUAAUUGUGCUCCGGAGGAAGCUGUACUUAGACCAACAAGCAGUCAUCAUUACCGUUUUCUGCAACAUCCCACAACCAUUAACUGAAACUCAAUUCCCCCUAAGUAUUAACAACCUGCUAUAUACAGAUAACACAGCCUCUCUUGCUUAACGUGAAGAGGACUUGAAGCAAUUACUGAUAAAGAUCAAAGACCACAGCCUUCACUAUGGAUUACACCUCGGCGUAAAGAAAACAAAAAUCCUCACAACUGGACCAAUAAGCAAUAGCAAGAUAAACAGGGAAAAGAUUGAAGUUGUCAAGGAUUUCAUUUUACUUGGAUUCACAAUCAACACCCAUGGUAGCAGCAGUCAAGAAAUAAAAGAUGCAUUGCAUUGGGCAAAUCUGUUGCAAAACACCUCUAUAAACUGUUAAAAAGCAAAGAUAUCACUUUGAGGGAUAAGGUGCACCUGACCCAAUUCAUGGUAUUUUCAAUCACCUCAUACAUAUGUGAAAGCGGGACAAUUAGUAAGGAAGACCAAAGGAGAAUUGAUGCCUGUCAUGGAUUGAAAUGUGUCCCCCAAAAAUAUGUGUCAACUUGGUUAGGCCAUGAUUCCCAGUCUUGUGUGGUUGUCCUCCAUUUUGUGAUUUUCCUAGGUGUUAUAAAUCAGAAUCUCUGCCUGUGGUUAAAGAGGAUUAAGGUGAGAUGUAAACCCUUGUUCACGUCACAUUCCAGAUCCAAGGCAAAGGGAGUUUCCCUGGGGUGUGGCCCGCACCACCUUUUGUCUUACAAGAGAUGAAAGGGAAGCAAGCAGAGAAUGGGGGACCUCAUACCACAAAGGAAGCAGCACAGGGAGCAGAGCCCAUUCACUGGACCCCAGGUUCCUGCCCAGAGAAGCUCUUAGGCCAUGGGAAGGCUGAUGACAAGGACCUUCCUCCAGAGCCAACAGAGAAAGCCUUCCCCUGGAGCUGAUGCCCUGAAUUUGGACUCGUAGUCUACUAGACUGUGAGAGAAUAAAUUUCUCAACUAGUGCUUCUGCACCAGAAAUACCAGAAGCCAUCUACUUCUGGUAUUUCUGGUGUAGAAGCACUAGUUGACUAAGGCAAUGCCUUUGAACUAUGGUAUUGGGAAAGAAUAUUGAAUACACCACGAACGGCCAAAAGAACGAACAAAUCUGUCUUGGAAGAAGUACAAACAGAAUGCUCCUUAGAAGCAAGAAUGGUGAGACUUCAUCUCACAUACUUUGCACAUGUUAUCAGGAGGGACCAGUCUCUGUAGAAGGAUAUCAUGCCUAGUAAAGUAGAGGGUCAGUGAAAAAGAGCAAGACCCUCAAUAAGAUCGAUUAACACAGUGACUGCAACAAUGGGCUCAAGCAUAACGACUAACAGGGCAGCGUUUCAUUGCGUUGUACAUAGGGUCACUAUGAGUCAGAAUGAACUCGAUGGCACCUAACGAUAACAAUAGAAAUCAAAGAUUAUGAGUGCUUACCAGGGGCAGGAAGGAGGGGAAUACAAGGAAUCUUUUCUAGGGGGAAUUGAAUUUCAGCUAAUGGUGGUGGAAUGAUUCAGAAAAGGACAGUGAUGUUGGCUGCACAACGUAAAGAAAGUAAUCAACAUCACUAAAUUUUACAUGUUGAAGUUGUUUGAACUGGUGAAUGUUUUGGUGUGUAUAUUUAUACCACAAUUUAAAAAAAAUCAGUUCAAUGUGUAAUGAAUACAAAAUAAUUAUUAAUGAAAUAUUUUAUAUUGUUUUUUAUAUUAAACCUUUGAAACACUAUACAUAUUUUAAUCUUACCCAUUGCAGUUGAGUCGAUUUUGACUCAUGGUUACCCUAUAAGACAGUAGAAGUGCCCCACAUGGUUUCCAAGGAGUACCUGGUGGAUUCAAACUGCUGACCUUUUGUUUCGCAGCCAUAGCUUUUAACUACUACACCACCAGGGUCAUCUCAAAACAGAUUCUGUAUUUUCAGUGGUGAAAAUGUAAUGUGGUCUUACCAAAUCAAUAAAGUUUCAUUUAAUGGAUGAGGAUUUUACACAGCUUCAGCCUUUUUAUGUAAAACAGUUUAAAUUAAGUAAAAUUAGAAAUACAAUUCUUCAGUGCCACUCACCACAUUUCAAAUGCCCAAUAGCCACCUGUGGAUGGUGGUCCUAUUGAACUGAACUGCACUCAAAUGUAAUCUCCAUGUAGGCUGAUAUUUUUAUCUGUUUUAUUCCCUGCUGUAUUCCUAAUCCCUACAACAGUGCCUGGCAAAUAGUAGGCACUUCAUAAAUAUUUGUCAAAUGAAUAAAAUGAGGCCAUGCAUAUAAAGCGUUCAACACUAUGGCUGUCAUACAGUAAAUAUCCAGUAAAUGGGAGCUAAAAAGUAGAGGAAGAAGUUAAGUAAAUUUCUUGAAACCUUAGUUGUCCUAGACUUGACUGGGACUCGGGAAGUUCAGGGGCUAUUCUUUGUCAUUGGUGACAGCCAGUUACCUCCUUUUGGUCUGACCAGGGAGGUUUAGCUGUGAUUCUCUCUUGCACAGUAGCAGACACUUUUGAUUCCAGAAGCCCUUGAACCUGACCAUCGUAGGGCUUGUCAAUCUAACCCCCCAAUACUGGAGGUGCUUUUCCUGUUUUAGCUUGAGCUCACUCUGCCCGUGUCCAUGAAAAUGGCAGAGAAUUAGUAUCCCCUAGAUGUAGUUCUCAAUAAAUGAUUGAAAACAGAUGGUGUAUCAAUACCCCAGCUCCCUCUCUUCUCAGUUAGGACAACUCUGAGGUGUGUGGUCUACACUGUCUCCCAGAGCUUCCCAGAGGGAAUUAAGGUUCAGUUGCCCACAGAGGUGACUGAUUUGAUCAUGCUCUCUGUAUUUUAUUGCAUAGAGAUCCUUUUCGGGUUUCACUUGCUCAGCCCCCUAGUGGUGUUUUCUGGAAUCACCUUCCACAUAAGCUACUCGUACUGGAGUCCUUAAAGUCUUUUUCUAAGAUAUGGAGAGGAUAACUUCACAGCUCACUGGACACAGUCAGGUUCACAGGACAGAGCCAUGAAUCCUGGUACCUUGGAUAUAACAGCCAUGAGGACAGCAAAGCUUGGCAGAUGGAAGCACUGGCAUUUGGUGUGAGAAUUGUUGCUUCCCAUAUGAGAGCAGCCCUCCGUUGACCAGCUGCCCCCCUUCUUGGAUCCUUCCCAGGAAGCACACAAAAGUUUUGUUCUUGCACCAACAGGCUGGAAAAAGAAUAGAAUAGAAGUGAUCCUCCUUCUGGUUUUAUUAUUUGAGCUUUAUAGGUUAAUCACAGAUGCACUGGGUUGGAGCCUGAAUUAGGAAAAUCCCACUAUCUUAAGUACUUGUGGGGAAGAGUUUCACACCACCACCUGUGCUAUGGGGUUUACUCUUCAUUAAUGCUGCCCUUUUCUGCUCAUCUCAGUGCCCUGGGGAUUGACCCUUAUGAACUGUUUCACCCAGGCUCCUUGUUGGCUGACUGGCUUCCAUUGGGUUUUACCAAUGAGAGACUCUGAUGGGUGAUCACUGGGCAAGAGAUGAGAGACGUCAGGUAUUUUUUCCAGGUUAUUUCCAUUUCCCUACCCCUCGUCUGUCUCUUUGUCAUACAGUAGUGGCUUGUGUGUUGCUAUGACACUGGAAGCUAUGCCACCGAUAUUUAAAAUACCAGCACGGUCACCCAUGGUAGACAGGUUUCAGUGGAGCUUCCAGACUAAGACAGACAAGGAAUAAAGGUCUGAUAAUCUACUUCUGAAAAUUGUUGUUGUUAGUUGCCAUUGAGGUGAGCCCAUGUAUAACAGCACAAAACAAUGUUUGGUCCUGUGCCAUCUAAUGAGCUUUGUGAUGUUUGAGCCCAUUUUUGAGGGUAUUGUAUCAAUUCCCUUCAUUGAGGGUUCCUCUCAGCCAAUGAAAACCCUGUGGAUCAGAAAAUAUUGUCCUAGACUUUGAUUGACUUACUUUGGGCACAGUAUCAGGGAAGACUAAUCACUAAAAAAGGACAUCAUGUUUAGUAAAGUGGAGGGCCAGCAAAGGUAAGAGAAACCCUCAAUGAGAUGAACUGACACAGUGGCCACAACAAUGGACUCAAACAUACGAAUGAUCACGAAAAAGGUGCAGGACUGGGUGACAUUUUGUUUUGUUACACGUAAGGUCACCGUUCAUAGGAGCUGACUCGAUGGCAACUAACAUUUCCAUCACCAGUCGGACAAUCCCUCUUCCAUCCUUCCAGCUAAAUAAUCUUAGUUCCCCUGUUGCCUUUUUAGGCUUAAAUGUGAUCAUGACUCCCCACUGUGGCAGUCUCUGAGUGCCUCAACAUCCCUUGUCAGCUCUCUUAACUCUGAACCAUCAGAGUUGGCUUCAGUUCCCUACUAAAAAAAAAAAAAAAUACAUCUUCAUCCCUUUAAGGCACCCUGAAUGGAGUCCCUUGGUGGUGCAAGUGAACAGUUUAAGUGCUCAACUGUUAACUGAAAGAUUGGAGGGUCAAGUCCACCCAGAGGCACUUUGGAAGAAAGAUCUGAUGAUCUACUUCCUAAAAAUCAGCUAUCGACAACCCUAUGGAACACAGUUUUACUCCGACUUACAUGGAGUCGCCGUGACUCAGAGUUGACUUAACAGCAACUGGCGCUGGGCUCUUGGGAUACAACCAGCCCUUGGUUUUGCUCACCUGAGUAUGUUUCAAGGUCAGGAACACAGGUUUGGACAGGUAAAUUCUUCUCUCCGAAUCAUUGGUGCCACUCACGACAAGAGAGUUCAGUUUCACAUCCUGCAGUCUUUUCCUGCCACUAAAAAAGGAUCCAUUGACAAUAUCCCCAAGAGUUUGGUAGACUAUCAAUGCAACAUCCUUCUGACCUGCAACCAUAGAAGAGAAAUCAUUUUAUAGGGUUUACAUAGCUUGGGGAAGUGGUACACUAGUAGCUUAUGUGAGCGUCAUAAGGCAAACCUAGUGCAGAGUCAAAAUUUCUCUUGGAAAUCCCUUAAAUUGCCCUUGCAAUACGCUGAUUGUGGUUUUAAGUGCAGUGUUUUGUAUUAUGUCAUACAUGUUGUCAUGCACUCUACAUAAUAAGAGGUAUCUAUGCAAAACAUGUAAAUCACUGUGCUGUGAAAAUAUCUAUGAAUCCUUAAAUAUCAAGUCAGAGUCAUGAGGCAAGAAGCUUACCCUCAGAGGGGCAGGUGAAACUCAGAUGGAAUGAGGAAACCACACACUCCCGUCUUUCAUCUUUAGUUCACUCUGGGGAUCUAAUUCAGUGGAAAGGUAUGCAGAUAGCCCAUUCCAUUUAAUUUGUUCUCUCGCUCUCAAACUCUCUCUUUCUCCUCUCCCUACCCUUUCUUCCUUUGAAUCACUGAACCUCUAUCACUUUAUCUCUCUUACUCUAUCCUUGUCUCUAUGACCCCAACUUCUUGUCUCUCAUCUUCAGCCCUUUGGAGCUCUGACCCUCUAGCCCUCUGUCUCUAUAGCCCUCAUUUCCUGUCUCUUUGUCUCACUCUCACUGUCUCUCUGCCUGUCUGUGUCCUUUUUUUUCUUCCCACCCUGUCUUCUUUCCGUCCCUUUCUUCUCCCUGCCUUUUUCAUGCAAGUAUAAGUUAGUCACAGAAGUCAAAUGAAUUCUGUAGCAUAAAGCAGUGUUUCUCAAACUGUAGUUAUUCGUGUGCCACCAUCCCAUUACUGUAAUUAUUUACUCAGUUUUAAAAUCAAGUCAUUUUUAGAUUUUUUCUUCUCCACCCUCAUUCUUCAGCUCACAGUAGGGGGUGAAAAUUAGUCAGUAGCUGGGAAUUUUCUGGAGGAAAUGCGACAUGUAUUCCACUCUCUCAAAGCAAUCAGGUCUUUUCCUCUGAAAUAUUUUACAUUCAUUCAUCCAAUAUUUGUUGAGCAUCUACUGUGUGCCAGCAGUGUUCUAGGCAUAGCAGAUACAGCAGAGAACAAAAUGGAGUCCUUGCAAUCAGAGAGCUGACAUUGUAGUUGGAAAAAUGGACAAUAAAUAAAUUAGAAAAAUAUCACAGAGUAGUAGGUGCUGUAAAAAGGCUUAAAUAAAGUGAUGGGAUAAAGCAGGGGUUGGCCUGAGGGUCAAAUUCAGCCUGUCACCUGUUUUUGUAAAUGAAGUUUUAAUGGGCCACAGUCAUACUCACUCAUUUAUGUAUUGUGUAUGACUGCUUUCAUACUACAAUGACCGGGUUGAGUACUUGCAACAGAGACUGUACAGCCUGAAAUUUACUAUCUAGGUCUCUGUAGAAAAACCUUGUCAACCUGUAGGAUAGAGGAAAACUGAGUGAUGAUAAAACAAUUCUCAGGGGACUCAGUCAUAAAAAGAAAAGAAAUCCUGAUGCAUGCCACGACAUGGAUGAACCUUGAAAACACCGUGCUGAGAGAAAUAAGUCCAUCACAAAAGGACAAGUACUGUAUGAUGCCACUUAUAUAAAUAAGUAAAUAUAUGGGGACCAAAGAUUAGUAGUGGUUACCAGGGGUGAGAGGGAUGGGUGCAGGUGAAUUUUUACUUAGGGGCACAGAGUCUGUCUUAAUGGUGGUAGAAUGAUUUGGAAAAGGGUAGCGGGAAGGGGUAUACAACUUGAAGAAUAUAACCAAUGUCGCUGAAUUGUACAUAUAGAAAUUGCUGAGAUGUCAUACAUGUUUUCACCAGAAUAAUUUUUUUUAAAGACCCAGAACAUACAGAAAAAGUUUUAAAAUAAGGACCCAGGAUAAAAAGACAACAAUGGUUGGAUAAGAGUUCCUUUUAAAUAUAAAUAAAAAGCUUCUGAAUCAGGGGUAAAUUAGAAAAUACAUAUAUGAAUAAGGGAUGGCAGCCCUUAUUAUUAUAUAAAAAUCAUAACAGCCUGGAAAUCCUCUAAUGAUAUACAGGAUCAGUUAAAAAAUUAUUUAUAUUUCUGGAAUAAAAAACAAACUGUUAAAAAAAAAUCACUUCUCAAGGGAGUAAGUAUUGAAAGCAAUGAUUAUCUACCCCUGUUGAGCAUUGAGUUCAGUAGCUGCCUUUUUAAACCAUAACAUAAAAACCAAAAAAACCAAACCCAGUGCCAUCGAGUUGAUUCCAACUCACAGCAACCCUAUAGGACAGAGUAGAACUGCCCCACAGAAUUUCCAAGGAGCGCCUAGCGGAUUUGAACUGCUAACCCUUUGUUUAGCAGCCAUAGCACUUAACCACUACGCCACCAGGGUUUCCAAACCAUCACAUGGAAACAGGAAAUGCAUCAACCUAGCCCUUUUAAGGAAGUGUGUCAAGGGAUCCCUGUUUGAACAUUGGUGUGAGUCCCAGAGUACACACUCCUUGUGAGACUCCAGCUCAUCUCUAAUAUUGCCUGCUCAGUGGUCAAGGCAGAACUUUAAUUCUAUUGUGUAGAAUCUCCCUUCUUCAAAAACUUUGAGUCCCCAUUAGGGACUGAAUUGUGUCCCCCAAAAGCUAUGUGUCGUCAAUCCUAACCCCUAUACCUGUGGUUAUAAUCCCUUUUGAGAACGGGUUCUCUUUGUUAUAUUAAUGAAACAAUAUUAUUGUAGGAUGUGACUUAAGAUAAUAUAUUUUGAGGAACAAUAUUAUUGUAGGAUGUGACUUAAGAUAAUAUAUUUUGAGAUAGACAAGAGAUUAAACAAGCAAGUGAGAAAGCAGAGAUCAGAGAAGAGGGAUGCCAUGCCACUUGAGAUCACAAAGGAAACAAGAAACAGAAGCUUGGAAGGAAAAAGGACCUUCCCCCAGAACCACCAGAGUGUGAAAGGCUUCCUUUAGAGCCAGCACCCUGAAUUUGUACUUCUAGCAUCCUAAACCAUGAGAAAAUAAAUAUCUGCUUCUUAAAGCAACUCACUUGUGUUAUUUCUGUUACAGCAACACUAGAUCACUAAGACAGUCCCCCACCCCUUGUUCUAGUCACCUAGAAAUGAGACAUGGUGCCUAGAAUUUGAAGGUUAAGAGAAUCCAUCUUAAAAACAGUACCUCUUGUGGUUUCUUUGAAAGCAUGGGCACAGUCAAUAUCCAUUGUGUUAUUUUCAGCUUCCAAAAUUAUUCUCUUGCUUGUCUCAUUGCAUCUAUCGGUUUCAUAGGCUGGAAACAUAAAGAAAGUGAGUCCUGCUUUGCUUACUUCUCAUGUCUAACACUUGUUGAAGAGCUCUUCUUUGGAAGACCCACUGUUGGUGAUUUCAUCUCCCGCAUGCUCCAAAGUCAUGGUAGACCAGAUGACACUCCCCACCACCAACACACAUCUCUGGCCGCUGAGUACGAGUUGGUAAAAAUGGCCUAAGCAACACACACUGGCCACAUAACUCAAGAAGAAAGGAGAUGAUCAUACUUCCGAAAGCUGGCACUAGAGGGGGCAAGCUAAACAUUUACUAUAGGAAACUUAAAGGGCAGAAAAAAAAAAAAUUAAGAAUGUACACUGGAGUUCCCACUGAGCGGAGAAUUUAAUAUUUUAAAGCUAACCACUUAAGGGUUUUCCACAGAUAGUCAACUGGGACUAGAUCUUCUGCAUUUGGGAAGAAUCCCCUGAGUAAACCCUUUCAGCCAUGUGAACACAAGACCUGACAAAAGAUGACCCCUAUAUAAGUUUUUGAUACACACAGUUUUUCUCUGGAGAAGUGAGAAAAUUUGUUUAGGGGCUAUGACAGAGACUAUACAUUGUUUCCAUAUCCAUUCACCUCUUCUUUCUUUGGGAAAGAGACCCCACAAUUAAGCUGAGCACAAGUCAUUUCUCAGCCUCCUUUGCAGCUAGGUGGAACCAUGUAAUUAUUUACAGGCCAACACAGGGGUGAUCAGAAGUGGUGUGCACUAAAGGGAAUGGGCACAUCUUCUAUUAACCUUUCCCCUUCCCGGUGGCUAGUAAGUGGAUGUGCAACUAGAGCUGCCAUUUUGGGAUACAGAUGGGAGUUGAACAUUGAGGAUGGAAAAACUUGGAGCUGACAGGGAACUGCCACACCAGCCCUUGACUUCUUAUGUUCAAAGUGUUAAAGAAAUAAAUCUCUCUCUUUUUAAACCAUAGAUAUUUCAGUCUUGGAUAUACAACCAGAUCCUGUAUCCUAAUACAGAAACUAAGUUCACACGGAGCAUUCAACACAGAACAUAAAACAAGCCUCAAUAAAUUCAAAAACAUUGAAAUUUUAGAAUAUGCUCUCAGACCACGAUGGAAUUAAAUAAGUAUUAAAAAAAAAAAAAAAAA